GACGAACGCUGGCGGCGUGCUUAACACAUGCAAGUCGAACGGAAAGGCCCUGCUUUUGUGGGGUGCUCGAGUGGCGAACGGGUGAGUAACACGUGAGUAACCUGCCCUUGACUUUGGGAUAACUUCAGGAAACUGGGGCUAAUACCGGAUAGGAGCUCCUGCUGCAUGGUGGGGGUUGGAAAGUUUCGGCGGUUGGGGAUGGACUCGCGGCUUAUCAGCUUGUUGGUGGGGUAGUGGCUUACCAAGGCUUUGACGGGUAGCCGGCCUGAGAGGGGGACCGGCCACAUGGGGACUGAGAGACGGCCCAGACUCCUACGGGAGGCAGCAGUGGGGAAUAUUGCACAAUAGGCGGAAGCCUGAUGCAGCAACGCCGCGUGCGGGAUGACGGCCUUCGGGUUGUAAACCGCUUUCGCCUGUGACGAAGCGUGAGUGACGGUAAUGGGUAAAGAAGCACCGGCUAACUACGUG
rnacentral:rRNA from 1 species